AGAUCCUUAAACCACUGAACAAGGCCAGGGAUUGAACCUGCAACCUCAUGGUUCCUAGUCAGAUUGUUAGCCACUGAGCCACGAUGGGAACACCCACUAAUCACUUUUUAUUUACUAAUUUUGCUUAGGAUAGGCACAGCUUAGAACCAAGGAAGCAGCUCCUUCUAUUUCCCCUCCCCUGGUCAUGGGGGGGAGGGGAAUUGAAAUACCAUUUAUAUCAUAAAAAUAAUUUUUAUUUCCUUUGUAAAUUUAUAUGUCCCAAAAAACUUUUUUUGUGAAUUAAGUCUGUGACAAGAAAGACUUUAGUUUUUAAACACUUGGGUUUGUGUCUGCUGAAAGCCCUGGAAAUUCAGAGGGAGAGGGCUAUCUAAAUUAAGUUUUCAUUUACUCUUACUCAGUUAGAUUAUACUUUUCUAAGACUACACUCAGAAUAGCCCUAAAGGUUUCUCAUAGAGUAGCUAACUGCGUACUUUUGCAAUUUGUGGUUUAGUCAGUUUGGUCUGGAUAGUGAAGAGACCAUGAUCUCAUAGAAUUUACUGGUAAUGUUUUCUGGAAAUGAAUAUCCAUCACUUAUUGAAAAUGUCAACUAACAAUGGAAAUUAGGUUGAAGAACCAGACCUUCUGGUAAUGAUAUGUCUAGAUAAUAAUUGAUUUGUAUUUUCCAGAAUUUUAAACAUGUGUUUUCAGGAAGCAUUUUCCUUGAGUGAAAAAUGAAUGAAAAUGUAAAGAGUCACCCUCUGUGUUUUUCUGCAAGUCUAAGAGCAAAGUUGAUGACAAAUAUGGAAACUAAGAAAUGACUAAGUGGAGUGACUGGUCAUUUUUUUUUAAAUAAUUUAAGCAUUUUUUUGCAUUGUAAAUGUUUGGGUGUUUCAUUCCUGCACAUGCAGAUACUGGGAAUGCAAGAUUCAUUCAUACAUUCAGCCUCUGGAAAGGAACGAAAGAAGAUUGAAAU